AGACCACAAGCCUAGAAAUUCCGGGACCUGGGUUUCAGCUCUGGUUCUGCAGGUGCAUAUUCAAUCAUGUGAAGUUUUCAUACAUGAACAGGAUGCCCUGCAACGUUGAUAUGUAAAUUUUAGGGAGACCACUGGUUAACCCUUUCUCAAGUUGAGAAGGAAAAUAGAAAAAUAUAGACUCAUGUUCUCAGGCCCUUAUGUUCCUUUCAGGUUGUUUGAAACCAAUCCAUUAAUGACCAUAUGUGGAAAAAUUCCCUUAUCCUUGAAAUUGCCUGGAAAUGAGGCCAUACAAUGGAAUCACCUUGGGAUGAAGUUUUUUUCUCAAAUAAAGUAGGAAAUCCCCUACAGAUGGUCAGAGGUGGACCGCUUGGAACACUGCCUGGCCAGCAGCUGGACAUUGCUUGGGUCAACCCCAAUGGAACACUAUUGUGGAUGCAUCAGUGAAUGAGUCACUGAGGAGGAAGAUGAGAUGGAUCAAAGGCCAGGCUCAGAGGAGAUACCUUUUGUUUUUUUAGAGAGCUUUGAGUUACUCAAGAAGAACCCUCUCAAAGUGCGAAUGGACCUACGGAGACAGAAAUUCAGUCUUUUGGUGCUAGAAUCUCACUGCUUGACAGAAGGCUCUCUGAAUUUCUAGACUAAUGGCACACAUUCUGGGCUGUAUUUAGCAGCCUCUCUUUCUUCUAUCCCAUUUCUUUCCCUUUAUUAAAUUUCUCUCUCUCUUUUUUGCCAAA